AUUGAACGCUGGCGGCAGGCUUAACACAUGCAAGUCGAGCGGGGGAAGGUAGCUUGCUACCGGACCUAGCGGCGGACGGGUGAGUAAUGCUUAGGAAUCUGCCUAUUAGUGGGGGACAACAUCUCGAAAGGGAUGCUAAUACCGCAUACGUCCUACGGGAGAAAGCAGGUGAUCUUCGGACCUUGCGCUAAUAGAUGAGCCUAAGUCGGAUUAGCUAGUUGGUGGGGUAAAGGCCUACCAAGGCGACGAUCUGUAGCGGGUCUGAGAGGAGGAUCCGCCACACUGGGACUGAGACACGGCCCAGACUCCUACGGGAGGCAGCAGUGGGGAAUAUUGGACAAUGGGGGGAACCCUGAUCCAGCCAUGCCGCGUGUGUGAAGAAGGCCUUAUGGUUGUAAAGCACUUUAAGCGAGGAGGAGGCUACUUUAGUUAAUACCUAGAGAUAGUGGACGUUACUCGCAGAAUAAGCACCGGCUAACUCUGUGCCAGCAGCCGCCGUAA
rnacentral:rRNA from 1 species